GCCGCGUGAGCGAUGAAGGCCUUCGGGUCGUAAAGCUCUGUUGUCAGAGAAGAACAAGUACCGGAGUAACUGCCGGUACCUUGACGGUACCUGACCAGAAAGCCACGGCUAACUACGUGCCAGCAGCCGCGGUAAUACGUAGGUGGCAAGCGUUAUCCGGAAUUAUUGGGCGUAAAGCGCGCGCAGGCGGUUUCUUAAGUCUGAUGUGAAAGCCCACGGCUCAACCGUGGAGGGUCAUUGGAAACUGGGAGACUUGAGUGCAGGAGAGAAAAGUGGAAUUCCACGUGUAGCGGUGAAAUGCGUAGAGAUGUGGAGGAACACCAGUGGCGAAGGCGGCUUUUUGGCCUGUAACUGACGCUGAGGCGCGAAAGCGUGGGGAGCAAACAGGAUUAGAUACCCUGGUAGUCCACGCCGUAAACGAUGAGUGCUAGGUGUUGGGGGGUUCCACCCUCAGUGCUGACGUUAACACAUUAAGCACUCCGCCUGGGGAGUACGGCCGCAAGGCUGAAACUCAAAGGAAUUGACGGGGGCCCGCACAAGCAGUGGAGCAUGUGGUUUAAUUCGAAGCAACGCGAAGAACCUUACCAGGUCUUGACAUCCUCUGACCACUUGAGAGAUCAAGCUUUCCCCUUCGGGGGACAGAGUGACAGGUGGUGCAUGGUUGUCGUCAGCUCGUGUCGUGAGAUGUUGGGUUAAGUCCCGCAACGAGCGCAACCCUUGACCUUAGUUGCCAGCAUUCAGUUGGGCACUCUAAGGUGACUGCCGGUGACAAACCGGAGGAA
rnacentral:rRNA from 1 species